GCCGCCCAUUGGCUGGGGCCGAGCGCUGGGCACCAAUCGCGUGGGCCUCGCCCUCGCCCCGCCUUCCGCGGCCGUUUACAGAGACUGUUCCUCGCUGCGCAGGUUCGAGCCUCGCCUGCAACUGCUGAGAGGGUUCUGGUCGCUGAGCACAUCUGCCCGCCCUCUGCUGGCAAGAAGACCGAGGCCCGAAGGAAAGGAAAGACUUGCUCUCCGCUGCUUUUGCGCCGCGGAGGGACCUGGGGAUGGCUGUUGGGUUCGACCUCGCUCCCGGCCGGCUCCCAUUCCCCACGUCGCGGAGCCUUACCGGGCCACCAACACCAGCUGUGCCCCAGAAGCUGGGCCCCAUGCCCUGGUGUGCGGCACAGCUGAGCUUUGCUUCUGUACCCUCCUGCAGAAUCAUCGCUGCGGCCAGCUAAGGCACUGCCCACCUGUUCCUGCUGAUGUUAGAGACUAAACCGAUGGCACCGCUGAGCACGAACUGUCCUGCGGGGCCCUUCUCAUUCCACAUGUGCCAUGGAACUCAGAACUCAAAAUGGGUCUCCCGAGAUACUCAUGUUGGAAUCAGAAGAAAUUUGGUUAUCGUUUAGUUUACAACAUUUGUUAUAUACUGGAAGACAAAGGCCCAGAGAGGAGAAGCCAGUUACCCAAUAAGUGAGGAGCAGUCCAGUCCUGUGUCUCUCGGAGGGUUGUGGCGACAGCUACAGGUGACAAGAUUACACGUGCCUGAUUCUGUGUGGAGUUUCACAUGAGCUGAGACCUCGUGAGACUUACAGGAAGAGAGACAAUCAGAAAAUGUUCCUUCAACAGAUAUGAACAAAAAUCUUGCAAUUUUGACCAUCUGAAAAAGCUGCAGAUCAAGAAUAGACAACAGUCAAUUACUUAGGACCAGAAAAAUAAUUUACAGAUUAAACAGACUUCUUGCUUUUCCUUCA